rnacentral:rRNA from 1 species
UGGUCUUGACAUAGAAAGAACUUUCCAGAGAUGACUUGGUGCCGCUUCGGUGGAACGUUGAUAC